rnacentral:rRNA from 1 species
UACGUAGGGGGCGAGCGUUGUCCGGAUUUAUUGGGCGUAAAGAGCUCGUAGGCGGCUUGGCAAGUCGGGUGUGAAACCUCCAGGCUCAACCUGGAGACGCCACUCGAUACUGCCAUGGCUAGAGUCCGGUAGGGGACCACGGAAUUCCUGGUGUAGCGGUGAAGUGCGCAGAUAUCAGGAGGAACACCGGUGGCGAAGGCAGCUCGCUGGGACGUUACUGACGCUGAGACGCGAAAGCGUGGGGAGCAAACAGG